UGGGGAAUUUUGGACAAUGGGCGAAAGCCUGAUGCAGCAACGCCGCGUGCGGGAUGACGGCCUUCGGGUUGUAAACCGCUUUCAGCAGGGACGAAGGUUUUCCUGACGGUACCUGCAGAAGAAGCACCGGCUAACUACGUGCCAGCAGCCGCGGUGAUACGUAGGGUGCGAGCGUUGUCCGGAAUUAUUGGGCGUAAAGAGCUUGUAGGCGGUCCGUUGCGUCGGAAGUGAAAACUCAGGGCUUAACCCUGAGCCUGCUUUCGAUACGGGCGGACUUGAGGGAUGUAGGGGAGAACGGAAUUCCUGGUGGAGCGGUGGAAUGCCAGAUAUCAGGAGGAACACCAGUGGCGAAGGCGGUUCUCUGGACAUUUCCUGACGCUGAGAAGCGAAAG
rnacentral:rRNA from 1 species